UCUUGGUCAUUUAGAGGAGUAAAAGUCGUAACAAGGUUUCCGUAGGWGAACCUGCGGAAGGAUCAUUCAAGUGAGGCUACCGAACGUUGGAAACAGCGGUUAGGAGCUUGCACCCACCGUGUUUACAUACUAUUGUUGCUUUGGCGGGCCGUGGCCUCCACUGCGGCUCUGCUCGUGUGUGCCCGCCAGAGAACCAAACUCUGAAUGUUAGUGAGUCUGAGUACUAUCUAAUAGUUAAAACUUUCAACAACGGAUCUCUUGGUCUGGCAUCGAUGAAGAACGCAGCGAAAUGCGAUAAGUAAUGUGAAUUGCGAAUUCAGUGAAUCAUCGAAUCUUUGAACGCACAUUGCGCCCUGUGGUAUCCGCAGGGCAUGCCUGUUCGAGCGUCAUUUAACCACUCACGCCUAGCGGGUAUUGGCGCACGCGGUCUCCGCGGCCCUCWAAAUUAGUGGCGGCGCCGUGGGCUCUAAGCGUAGUACAUACUCCCGCUAUAGAGUUCCCCCGGUGGUCGCCAGAACCCCCAAUUUUUACAGGUUGACCUCGGAUCAGGUAGGGAUCCCGCUGAACUUAAGCAUAUCAAUAAGCGGAGGA
rnacentral:rRNA from 1 species